GGCCACUUGUCUGCUGUGUGACCAUGGGCAAGUCACUUCCCUUCUCUGUGCCUCGUUACCUCAUCUGUAUAUUGGAUAUGAAACCUUCUUCCCUCCGACCUACACGGUGAAGAACAGGGACUGUGUCCAACCUGAUUACCCCCGUGCUUAGUACAGUGUCUGGCACAUGGUAAGCAUUUAAUAGGUACCACUGGAAAUAAAAACCCCUGCUGCAGAGUGAUACAUGGACUAGAGUGGAGAGAGACUGGAAGCGGGGGAGGUGUCAGGCCAAUAUGGGGAUGCAGCCCAGUGUGGGAGCUAAGCGUUCCAUCUGGGAGGGUCUAGGAAUUUUGACGUGACCAAAGGUAUCAGAGGAUUGACCAAGGAUUCUAGCCUUUUUAAAAUAUUUAAUGGUACUAAGCGCUUACUGUGUGCCAGGCACCAUGCUGGGACGGAUACUGGAACCAGAAAUUUAGAUGAUGGGAUAGAGGGAGGGAUUGACACCCUCCCCCCGUUUCUUCUCAUCCAUAUCCCCUCCCCAUCCAAGGUGGGGCAGGCUGGGUCAGAUGGGUGGAAGCCAGAGCAGAUGCUGCUAUUCCUUGGACUUACCCUCUGGCCCCUGACCACGGGACCAGUUGCAGGCUAAUGGGGAGGCUUCUCACCAACCUCUCCAAGCUUAGUUAUUUUGGAGGACCUGAUCCUUCCUUCCCAGCACUCUGAUGGGGGCUGUGAACCCCCUGUGCAUUCCUGCUCCUCAGUUGGGCAUAGCCAGCCACCCCUUCCAAGUGAACCCUGAGCACUGCAGUGGCAGCCCCCAAAGGCCUCCCCCUGCCUCACCCAUUCUGCAUAAAGCUAAAGCCUCUGAGAAGUGGCCAGAAUCCCCAGAGCUGCCCAUGCUGUCAAGAGACCUAGUUGGUGCCAGAUAAAGAGAUAAAACCAAUGACAGAAAGGAGUUGGGAAGCAGUGGCGCCUUAAAGAGCUUGGCACCUAGCUGGCUGAGAAGUCGGUCCACAGAGCCAGAGGAGUGAAACAGAGAAAGAGUAAGUGACAUCACCACCUGCUCGAGGUGGACGAGGGUAAGGUAACGUAAUUGGGGUGGAGUUUAAGGGAAAGGUCUGAGGUGGGGACUGGGUGGAGGGAUGAGGGCACCCUUGGGAGGGCCUGCCUGUGGUUCUGUCUCCCUAGAGUUUGUAGAAUUGAUGGGGAGAAGAGUUGCAGGGAGAAGAGUGGGAGACUGAUGGAGGAGGGUAGGGAGUGGAGGGAAAGCUUGGGUUAGAGUCUUCAGGGGCUAGAGAGGAGUUUGGGGUGGGUCAACCCAGAAGGAGUAGAGCUGGCUGGAGGAUGUGGGGGUCAUUGGUGGAGUUGGUGAGAGGGGCAGGUCAGGCCCUUCCCUUUAGAGAGGAGGGACCCUCCUACAGCGGAUUCCCACCUCAGCCAAAAUGACCUCGCUGAGCUGGGCAAGAAGAUAGAGGGGAAGGGGGGGUCAGAAGUGACCAGUGACCAACCCCUCUCCGGGCCAUUGAAAAUGCCGGGUGGUUGUUAUGAGAAUCCCAGCUCCUGGACUAUGUGCCUGGCCACGAUGGAGUCACUUCUCCCUUGCUUAACAUCCUCAGCCCCUCCCUCAGCUCGCUCUCUCUGUCAGGUCAGAAUCCACCUGCCACCUUGGGUGAUUGGAUUCCUUUUCUUUCCCUUUAUUUGCUUUGGGAAAAAAGAGAGGAAGCGUAGGGGAGGUGAGCAGGGAAUAGGUAUUUGCAGUGGGUGGGUUCCUGCACACCCCAUUGUGUCUUCUCCUCCAGUGACUCUAGUCUUCUGUGGUUUGGGGCACUCUCCCUCUCGUAGGACAUUGUGAGCCCAAAAAAGGACCCUCUCCUCCCCACCUAGUUUCCCUUAUCCAGGCAGUUCAGACCCAAGAGAGGUUUUGCCUGAUUGUCCCCAAAGUUUUAGAACUGCUAAGUGACGGGGCCAAAUCCAGCCAUCUCCCACCACCCACCCCUCUCCGGCUCAUGGACUGUCCAUCUUUACCUUCUGCCAGAGCUGGGGGACUCCAGAAACUGAGCCAGAAAGGGAUGGGCAGAGGACCAGGUCAGAAAAAGGGCCUGGACAUACUAACCCCAACCUCCGCAGUGACCAGCACAAAGCUUACUUGGCACUGGAGAGAAAAACAACCAUUCUGCAAAUGCUGUAAACAAAUUGUCUUGCAGGCUCAAUGGUCCUGAGACUAAAUAAAAUAUUAUUUUAUCUGUC